rnacentral:rRNA from 1 species
UACGGGGGGGGCAAGCGUUGUUCGGAAUUACUGGGCGUAAAGGGCGCGCAGGCGGCCUGAUAAGUUGGUGGUGAAAGUCCUGGGCUCAACUCAGGGAUGGCCAUCAAGACUGUGAGGCUGGAGUGUGGGAGAGGAGGGUGGAAUUCCUGGUGUAGCGGUGAAAUGCGUAGAGAUCAGGAGGAACACCGGUGGCGAAGGCGGCUCUCUGGACCACUACUGACGCUGAGGCGCGAAAGCUAGGGGAGCAAACAGG